GGGUGCUCUGGAUCUUUCGUCCUGAGCAUAUGCCAGGGACAGAAAGAGAAAAGCCCCGAGUCGAUGUACAUCAACCCGAGGCCCACUCUAACGCCUGACAACGUUAAGUUAGCCUCUUACCCGCCGCGAGGCAAGGAGAAGAAGGCAUGAUG
rnacentral:antisense_RNA from 1 species